rnacentral:rRNA from 1 species
AAUGUCUGGGAAACUGCCUGAUGAGGGGGAUAACUACUGGAAACGGUAGCUAAUACCGCAUAACGUCGCAAGACCAAANAGGGGGACCCUCGGGCCUCUUGCCAUCGGAUGUGCCCAGAUGGGAUUAGCUUGUUGGUGGGGUAACGGCUCACCAAGGCGACGAUCCCUAGCUGGUCUGAGAGGAUGACCAGCCACACUGGAACUGAGACACGGUCCAGACUCCUACGGGAGGCAGCAUG